GGAGCCAGCCACACCUGCAAGCUCACUCUGUCUGUGGACUGUACCAUUAGUUUCUGAGCCAGUUUGAGUUUCAGUCACUUUCAACCAAGAGUCUUGACCAAUCUAGUAAGUCAAGGAGCUGUGUAUGGAAGAAGAGGAAGCGAAGAGUUUAAAGCAGGUUGAUAAAAAUCUCAAACCUAAGCCUAAGCAUAUGGCUUAGCCUUUAUUCUGUAGAGAGCAGGGAGCCAUCCAGGCAUUCAGAGGAGGGGAUUAUUGGGAGUAAUGAUUUAGGGAAUCAGUCUGGCAAGAAUGUCCAGGAUGGAGUGCCCUGCAGCAAACCCCAAGAACCCAGGAGAGAAGGGCUUGUAUUGCAGGGCUUGGCACAAGGAGGCUUAAGAAACAUGUGAAGCAAUAAAUCAAGGAAGAAAAGAGGUCAAUGGUAACAGCUGUAUGAAGGCAAAAUUGUUCAACCCAUGGAAGAACUUCCCAAAAAUCAGAACCACCUCCUAUGUCAACAUGCACCUGUCUGAGAUGGAGAGCUGAGCUGUACUUCCCGGGAGGGGUCUCAAAGGGUACGGGCCCACAAGACUUCUGAGGACACUUCUUUUCCUGCUUCCUGAAAUGUGUACUCAAAUCAGACUACAGAAAAAAAUGAUAGGGUUGCAUAUUUUCUUUUUUUCCUUCCUCAUUAAAAACUCUCAACAAUACUACGUAUCAGAAGAAAGACAUUCAAAUAUGCUGUACUCAGCAAUUCAAAUUGGUGUUGAAGGUAAAACAUCUCCUAUCAUUUGAGGAAUUCCUCCUAACCAGAAUUCAACAGGCAGGCUGCCAAUUCAUCAAGCUCCAGGAGACACCGUGUCAUUCUGUGAAAGACGAGAGUGUAAAUAUCUACAGCCAAAUCUCCACUAAUGCACAUCUUGGGAAGGUCUUUUGCCAAAAGACAUCUAAAGACUUUUUUUAAAAAAACUAUCAUCUUCCAGAUAAGAGUUACUUGGAAGGGAACAAAAUCUACUUAUUCAUUUAGCAACAAUUUAUUAAAUGACUUCUCUGUGGCAGACUUGGGGUCAUGUCAGCUCAAGGCUGUUCUAAGAGGAAAAGGGGAGGGAGAAGCCUGAAAUGUCCCUGUGAUCUUACCCGGUGUUCAUUGAUGAGAAGGUCCCGUGCAGCAUUAAAUAUCAGCGUGUGGAGGUGCUUUGAAUAAAACACCAAGGUGUAAUCAUAA